rnacentral:lncRNA from 1 species
UCUCAGCUGUUUAUGCUUGACUACAAGAGGAGGCCAGAGGCAAAGCAAGAGAAAAACAGAUGCUAUUGGCAUAGGCUGGGCAAAAAUAACUUCUGACAAAGGGGACCCCCAAACUAAGAGACUACCUGCCAUCCAAGCAGAGUCUAAACUGUCACUGUCUUAGUGGAGAGCAGGAAGGCUAGGCUGGUGGUGAUCACACAUGAUGUAGAUUCCUGUGACCUAGUGGUCUUCUUACCCUAUAUCAUCACAAAAUGAAGGUAACCUGCUGCACCAUCAAGGGGAAGGCCAGGCUGGGAUGGUUGGUCCAGAGGAAGGCAUGCACCACUGUUGCCUUCACAUAGGUUAAUUUGGAAGACAGAGGCAUUCCGGCUAAGUUGGUGGAAGCGAUUAGUAAUAAUUA